rnacentral:rRNA from 1 species
GACGAACGCUGGCGGCGUGCUUAACACAUGCAAGUCGAACGGACUAUAGGGGUUUACUUCUAUAGUUAGUGGCGGACGGGUGAGUAACGCGUGAGCAACCUACCUUGUGCAGGGGGAUAACACUUAGAAAUAGGUGCUAAUACCGCAUAAGACCACAGUACCGCAUGGUACAGGGGUAAAAGCCGAGACGGCACAAGAUGGGCUCGCGUCCCAUUAGGUAGUUGGUGAGGGUAAAGGCCCACCAAGCCUACGAUGGGUAGCCGACCUGAGAGGGUGAACGGCCACACUGGAACUGAGAAACGGUCCAGACUCCUACGGGAGGCAGCAGUGGGGAAUAUUGGGCAAUGGAGGGAACUCUGACCCAGCAACGCCGCGUGAAGGAUGAAGGUCUUCGGAUUGUAAACUUCUGUUGUCAGGGACGAAGAAUGACGGUACCUGACGAGAAAGCCCCGGCUAACUACGUGCCAGCCGCCGCGGUAAAAC